UGAGGGUGGACUGAGUGCCUGGCUGGCUAGACAAGCAGUAGGCCACAGGCAGCUCACUGCAGAGAGCUCAUCAAGCAGAACUGAGCCAAGGGAAGGCUGCCAAAGAUCAGGUGCCUGGCUGGCUCAUAGAGUAGCAGCAGGACCAUGAAAAGGUCAGUGCUGGCAGGCUGAGCCCAGGGGACUGAGCCCAGGACCUGGCCAGUCCAGACAAGGGUACCGCAAUGGGCCCUGGCUGGGUGGUUGAAGAAGGCAGUGCCUCAGAGAAGAAGCCUUAGAGCUACAGCCCCAUACCAGGGCCAAGAUAAAAACUCGGGACUGUAUACCCUGGAAGUGGGGACAGUGUGUGCAGCUUGGCUGGAGGCUGAGCUGCUGAAGACCAGCCGAAAGAGCCAGCAGUCGGGAGGCGCUUGCAGCAGGCAGGAGCCACCCUGAUGUAGCCAUGUUGUGGAGAUGGCCUGAAGACCUGGAGAGUAGAAAUUGCAUCCUACAGGCACUGUCUGUGCCAGGACAUGGGAAGAACAGGUCUAAUUUUGACUAUGCUUAUGGGAUUGUGAGUCUCUCUCUGACAGCUGUGAUGGCUCAAAGACGCUUGUUUUGUUCCUCGAUCUCCACAGCCUUCCAGAGGAUGGUAUCUGGAGCCUCUUUGAUACUUUGCACUUCAGAGACCAGGUGGAGCAGGGGAUCAUUCCAGGAGCGCAGUACUCCGAGCACUAAAUUCAGUUAAAAAUGCGACUCACGUGAAUCUGCUGAGCUUGAUCCUUGUCUUCAGGAGUGGUUAGGGAGGAAGUGUGGCAGCCAUUAAUGGCCUUUGGAAUAAAUCCCCGGCCUUGAGCAUAGCGCUCAUCCUGUGGAUCAACAACAACAUACAUUUAUGAAAUAAAUAAAGGAAAUUAAGUAGUUUACACACUUCUCCAAUUACUGCAUUUAUCAGUUAGAUUUGGAAAGAUACAAAACAAUUUGGUCUGGAGAAAGAACAGGAGCUUGCACCAAAGGAAGAAGUGCACUUGAUUCUGAAGCAUGAUGAAUGUAACAGCUGUAGAAGUAGAAAGAUUAAUGAUUUAAAGGGUCUAUAUAAUAUGCUUCUAUUUUC